rnacentral:rRNA from 1 species
GGAAACUGCCUGAUGGAGGGGGAUAACUACAGAAAACGGUAGCUAAUACCGCAUAACGUCGCAAGACCAAAGAGGGGGACCUUCGGGCCUCUUGCCAUCAGAUGUGCCCAGAUGGGAUUAGCUUGUUGGUGGGGUAACGGCUCACCAAGGCGACGAUCCCUAGCUGGUCUGAGAGGAUGACCAGCCACACUGGAACUGAGACACGGUCCAGACUCCUACGGGAGGCAGCAGUGGGGAAUAUUGCACAAUGGGCGCAAGCCUGAUGCAGCCAUGCCGCGUGUAUGAAGAAGGCCUUCGGGUUGUAAAGUACUUUCAGCGGGGAGGAAGGUGUUGUGGUUAAUAACCGCAACAAUUGACGUUACCCGCAGAAGAAGCACCGGCUAACUCCGUGCCAGCAGCCGCGGUAAUA